GGGGUGCGAUUAUAAUGGGAGAAAGUUGAGCGCAGGGGGCUGGUUGCUGGGAGUUUGGCUGAGAAAAUUUGGAGAGGGACCUGGCUGCAGGCUGGGACUGAGGCAGAUGGAAAAGCCAGGAUGCCACCUACUGGUGGUGAUGACUACGAUGAGGAUGGUGAUGAGGAAGAUCUGACCGACACUCGGGGGUCCACAGCAGGAGAUGUGAUGUGGCUUGCUUUAUCUUAAGCUCCCAGAAGAGAGGUUUUUGCCACUUGGCUGAUAUGGUGAUGCUUUGUGAAUGUAAACUUCUGAACUCAGCUGGUGAAA